UGAGUUGGCAUAGGGUAGUACU
rnacentral:miRNA from 1 species